rnacentral:rRNA from 1 species
CAGUCGCCGCGGUAACACGUAGGGUGCAAGCGUUAAUCGGAAUUACUGGGCGUAAAGCGUGCGCAGGCGGUUUGUUAAGACAGAUGUGAAAUCCCCGGGCUCAACCUUGGAACUGCAUUUUUAACUACCGGACUAGAGUGUGUCAGAGGGAGGUGGAAUUCCGCGUGUAGCAGUGAAAUGCGUAGAGAUGCGGAGGAACACCGAUGGCGAAGGCAGCCUCCUGGGAUAACACUGACGCUCAUGCACGAAAGCGUGGGGAGCAAACAGGAUUAGAUACCCCGGUAGUCCCUGUCUCUUAUAC